rnacentral:rRNA from 1 species
UAUCACGGAAAUGCGCGUGCCUAUAAUGCAAGUCGAGCGGACAGAAGGGAGCUUGCUCCCGGAUGUUAGCGGCGGACGGGAGAGUAACACGUGGGUAACCUGCCUGUAAGACUGGGAUAACUCCGGGAAACCGGAGCUAAUACCGGAUAGUUCCUUGAACCGCAUGGUUCAAGGAUGAAAGACGGUUUCGGCUGUCACUUACAGAUGGACCCGCGGCGCAUUAGCUAGUUGGUGAGGUAACGGCUCACCAAGGCGACGAUGCGUAGCCGACCUGAGAGGGUGAUCGGCCACACUGGGACUGAGACACGGCCCAGACUCCUACGGGAGGCAGCAGUAGGGAAUCUUCCGCAAUGGACGAAAGUCUGACGGAGCAACGCCGCGUGAGUGAUGAAGGUUUUCGGAUCGUAAAGCUCUGUUGUUAGGGAAGAACAAGUGCAAGAGUAACUGCUUGCACCUUGACGGUACCUAACCAGAAAGCCACGGCUAACUACGUGCCAGCAGCCGCGGUAAUACGUAGGUGGCAAGCGUUGUCCGGAAUUAUUGGGCGUAAAGGGCUCGCAGGCGGUUUCUUAAGUCUGAUGUGAAAGCCCCCGGCUCAACCGGGGAGGGUCAUUGGAAACUGGGAAACUUGAGUGCAGAAGAGGAGAGUGGAAUUCCACGUGUAGCGGUGAAAUGCGUAGAGAUGUGGAGGAACACCAGUGGCGAAGGCGACUCUCUGGUCUGUAACUGACGCUGAGGAGCGAAAGCGUGGGGGAGCGAACAGGAUUAGAUACCCUGGUAGUCCACGCCGUAAACGAUGAGUGCUAAGUGUUAGGGGGUUUCCGCCCCUUAGUGCUGCAGCUAACGCAUUAAGCACUCCGCCUGGGGAGUACGGUCGCAAGACUGAAACUCAAAGGAAUUGACGGGGGCCCGCACAAGCGGUGGAGCAUGUGGUUUAAUUCGAAGCAACGCGAGACCUUACCAGGUCUUGACAUCCUCUGACACCCUAGAGAUAGGGCUUUUCCUUCGGGGACAGA